AGUCAUCGAUUCCACUGACACGAAGAACACUUCUGAAGUGGGAUGGGGUGCCACCACGCCUGGCCACCCCCAACACUUGGUCCAGCCAGGUCCCUACACCCUAGGACCCCAACCCAAAGGUAUUCCAUCCUCAGUCAGCAGCAGCAACAGUAACUGGAGAGCGAGUCUAAGGGAAGCUGGCCUCGGUGAUUCUGGAACUUCAGGGGUUAACCUGGCACUUGUGGCUCCACCCCAGAGUUGGCUGGGGCAGGGCUCUGGUUUUGGGAGAAGGGAGGGCAAGAGCAGCAACUGGAAGCCAGGAGUUCUGGGCUCUGCCCGGAACCAGGACUCAUCCUGCAAAAUUGGGCCUGUCACUCAGUCUCUGGGACCUCGGCUUCUUGUUCCUUGGAAUGGGAACCUAAGACCGGGAGAGGCAAGAUGUGCUGUCUGCGCGCUCACAGAGAGGAUUUCAGCCCCUUGGACAACCAGGUCUGCCCGCAGCCAAGCUCUUACGAGAGCCUCACCUCACAUACCACUCAGAACCCAGAAGCAGAAGCCCACAGGGGCAGAGAGCCUCAAGGCAGUUUCCAGAGCCCUGGUGCUCAACGGGAAGAAGGUGAGAUGAGGUCGGAGCCUAAUGCCCCUCUUGUCCACAGUCCCAUCCCAAACUAUUCCCAGCCCAGGAGAGAAGAGACCAUCCAUCACCUCCCCUGUCCUCUGGGAGCUGGCCUCGGUCCAGGAGACAGGUGAUUCCUCCCUUGCCAACUCCAUCGAGAACCUACUUUAUCCCCCCACAUCACCACUGAGAGCUGCCUAGAAGAAAGGCACCAAGCCUGGAAUCUCCGGUUGGGGUCAGGGGUCAGGGUAGAAUAUAGCCUCCCCUGCCCCUCUCAGCCUUGCCCCCACCCAGGGGCUAAACAUCACCUGCCCUCCUCCAGCCCUACACUGUGUCUCUACAGAUUAUACUGUUUCAAGAGCCUCAGACUAAAGAGCUGCGGACAGUGGCCCACGGGAACA